rnacentral:rRNA from 1 species
GAUGAACGCUAGCUACAGGUCUUAACACAUGCAAGUCGAGGGGCAUCAGGAAGAAAGCUUGCUUUCUUUGCUGGCGACCGGCGCACGGGUGAGUAACACGUAUCCAACCUGCCCUUUACUCGGGGAUAGCCUUUCGAAAGAAAGAUUAAUACCCGAUGGCAUAAUGAUUCCGCAUGGUUUCAUUAUUAAAGGAUUCCGGUAAAGGAUGGGGAUGCGUUCCAUUAGGUUGUUGGUGAGGUAACGGCUCACCAAGCCUUCGAUGGAUAGGGGUUCUGAGAGGAAGGUCCCCCACAUUGGAACUGAGACACGGUCCAAACUCCUACGGGAGGCAGCAGUGAGGAAUAUUGGUCAAUGGGCGUUAGCCUGAACCAGCCAAGUAGCGUGAAGGAUGAAGGUUCUAUGGGUCGUAAACUUCUUUUAUAUAAGAAUAAAGUGCAGUAUGUAUACUGUUUUGUAUGUAUUAUAUGAAUAAGGAUCGGCUAACUCCGUGCCAGCAGCCGCGGUAAUACGGAGGAUCCGAGCGUUAUCCGGAUUUAUUGGGUUUAAAGGGAGCGUAGGUGGACUGGUAAGUCAGUUGUGAAAGUUUGCGGCUCAACCGUAAAAUUGCAGUUGAUACUGUCAGUCUUGAGUACAGUAGAGGUGGGCGGAAUUCGUGGUGUAGCGGUGAAAUGCUUAGAUAUCACGAAGAACUCCGAUUGCGAAGGCAGCUCACUGGACUGCAACUGACACUGAUGCUCGAAAGUGUGGGUAUCAAACAGG